ensembl:misc_RNA 7SK 7SK RNA
GGAUGUGAGGGCGAUCUGGCUUGACAUCUGUCACCCUAUUGAUCACCCUAUUGUCACCCUAUUGAUUCAGCUGACCUGGUUGGCCAGGCAGGUGUCCCCUUCCUCCCUCAGUGCUGCAUGUGCAUCCCUCCCAAAGCUGCAAAGUUGGUCAAAGGGGACACCCACCCCCAAUAGAGGAGGACCCUUUCCUCAGGCAAGGUUAUACAGAUAGCUGCACUCCCCUACUAGAACCUCCAAACAGGCUCAUAAAAAUCAGAUUAUUGUGCUGAGGUAUGUAACUUAUUUCUAUACCUCAUUUGUUGAAGUUUUUUUUAAAUCAUGAAAUAGUGUUGAAU